CCUACGGGAGGCAGCAGUGGGGAAUAUUGCACAAUGGGGGAAACCCUGAUGCAGCGACGCCGCGUGAGUGAAGAAGUAUUUCGGUAUGUAAAGCUCUAUCAGCAGGGAAGAAGAAGGACGGUACCUGAAGAAGAAGCCCCGGCUAACUACGUGCCAGCAGCCGCGGUAAUACGUAGGGGGCAAGCGUUAUCCGGAUUUACUGGGUGUAAAGGGGGCGCAGACGGCGAUGCAAGCCAGGAGUGAAAGCCCGGGGCCCAACCCCGGGACUGCUCUUGGAACCGCGUGGCUAGAGUGCAGGAGGGGCG
rnacentral:rRNA from 1 species